CUACGGGUCGCUCCAGUGAGGAAUAUUGGGCAAUGGAGGAAACUCUGACCCAGCCAUGCCGCGUGCAGGAAGACGGCCCUAUGGGUUGUAAACUGCUUUUGUACGAGAAUAAACCUUUCCACGUGUGGAAAGCUGAAGGUACCGUACGAAUAAGGAUCGGCUAACUCCGUGCCAGCAGCCGCGGUAAUACGGAGGAUCCAAGCGUUAUCCGGAUUUAUUGGGUUUAAAGGGUCCGUAGGCGGGUUUUUAAGUCAGUGGUGAAAGCCUACAGCUCAACUGUAGAAUUGCCAUUGAUACUGGAGACCUUGAGUGUAGUAGAAGUAGGCGGAAUAAGGCAUGUAGCGGUGAAAUGCAUAGAUAUGCCUUAGAACACCGAUUGCGAAGGCAGCUUACUAUGUUACAACUGACGCUGAGGGACGAAAGCGUGGGGAGCGAACAGGAUUAGAUACCCUUGUAGUC
rnacentral:rRNA from 1 species